CUGGUGGAGCUUCAUGUUUUUUAUGUCCCAGCAGAAGUGUGGAACUUCAAGCUGAAUACAGUUCCUGUAGCUCUUACUAGCAAAUUUGUCUCAGCGGGAUUUAUAAGGGUGUCUCCUCACAUCACAUUAAGAGUGCUGUGGGAGAGGCUUGGAGAGUACCUGGGUGGAGUGACAAAUGCAGAUAAAUUCAGAUUUUUGAAAUGCACUGGGAAAAAACUAGCAGUGAUUGAAGUGGAUCUGAUGGAUCUCUCUUCAUGCCAAGUCAUUCAAAUCCUGCAGAUCAGGAGACUGGAAAGUGUGACCUGGUAUUCCAGACCUCUGACCUCUGAUCUCAGCCCAGAUCAAGAAGACUGCAAUGCUCCAAAGUGGAAUGGCAAAACCAAAGGAACUGCUCUUUCUCAUGUAAACGCCAGUGACAAACAAAGCCAGGAACUAGGAAACAUGGAAAAUAAUGAGUACCAAAAAGAUACCAAAUUAAGAAGAGACAGAACACAGGAUGCUGAAAUUCUUAAAAUAAUGGAAGACCAAACUACAGAUUAUGUCCACAAAAAACAAAGGUUAGCAAAAAAUAUAUCUUCUAAAAUAAUGGAUAAUAUUAAUUCACUGAUACAAACUUACUUUAUAGACUUAAAAUAA
rnacentral:lncRNA from 1 species